rnacentral:rRNA from 1 species
UUUAUUGGAGAGUUUGAUCCUGGCUCAGGAUGAACGCUGGCGGCGUGCCUAAUACAUGCAAGUCGAGCGAAUGGAUUAAGAGCUUGCUCUUAUGAAGUUAGCGGCGGACGGGUGAGUAACACGUGGGUAACCUGCCUAUAAGACUGGGAUAACUCCGGGAAACCGGGGCUAAUACCGGAUAACAUUUUGAACCGCAUGGUUCGAAAUUGAAAGGCG